UAAAAAUUAAUCCCAAAUUUAAAAAAAAUAUAACAAUAAAUUUAUCAAUUAAACUCAGAAUCGCUGUAUUACUGAUAUUAUUAUAUAAGUUCUGUUAUAAAAUUCUAGUUCUCUAGUGACGGCCAGAAUUCGUAGAUUUGUAGAACAGAGUCUCUUCUCUGUCCUCCACAAAUGCAGACCUAUUUACUGAUCACCUCUUCCAAUCCAAUCCCAAAUGAUCAUCCAUGGGCUCCUCCAAAGUCGGCGCUUUGCUCCCAAAUCCGCCGUUGCCUUCUUUGAAUCCAGCAAUCUGCAAUCCGCCCGUCAACUGUUCGAUCAAAUUCUUCAACCGGACACCGUUCUCUGGAACGUCAUGUUCAAAGGCUACGCAGAGGCCGGCCUCCACAGAGAGACGCUGCUGCCAUUCUCUCAAAUGAAGAGGAGGGAUGAGAUCAGGUUCACUGUUUUGAUUUAAGAACUGGCCUCAGAUCAAACUUAUUUGUCGGAACUUCCCUAAUUGAAAGACAUGGAGAUAUGGCCGCCGCGGAGGAGUUCUUUGCUAGUAUGCCAGUGCACGAUGUCCAAUCUUGGAAUACUAUCCUGUUUGGCGAUGCCGAUGGGGAAGAUAUUGGGGCUUGUGUGAGGUUCUUCGCAAUCAUGCCUGUUAAGAAUGUGUUUUAAUGGAAUGGGCUGAUUUGAGGGCAUGCUCGACACAGUUAGCUCGGGACUAAUAUUUGGUGUUGGUGUGGAUGGUUUCACAGAUUUGGAGGUUCAUGAUGUCAGCUGAUACAUCCUUGCCUGGCAAGAUUAAUACAAAGCAAAUGCGGCUACUUAGAGCCUUGCCGGAGCUCCAAGGAUAACUGGGUAAAGGGGGACGGAGAAACUGGUAAUUAAGAGAAAACCUGAGCUAUAUUUUCCUUUUUCCCGUUUGGUUUUCAUUUAUUACUAUAUCCUAUUUCUAACAAUAUUUCAUGAAUAAUGUAUACUGCUAUGGCACUUGGCGCUAGCUAAAUAAAAAUCCAAACUUCAUGAUCAUUGAAAUAAUAAAUAGAAGCAAAUUUUGGCAGAACAUCUAAAUCAGUGCGAUAACAUUAAGCUUGUGUU